GCCCGACUAGCUCAACGGAUAGAGCACCUGGCUUCGGACCAGGGGGUUGUGGGUUCGAAUCCUGCGUCGGGCG
rnacentral:tRNA from 1 species